rnacentral:rRNA from 1 species
GGGGAAUUUUCCGCAAUGGGCGCAAGCCUGACGGAGCAACGCCGCGUGAGGGAGGAAGGCCUGUGGGUUGUAAACCUCUUUUCUCAAGGAAGAACACAAUGACGGUACUUGAGGAAUCAGCAUCGGCUAACUCCGUGCCAGCAGCCGCGGUAAGACGGAGGAUGCAAGCGUUAUCCGGAAUUAUUGGGCGUAAAGCGUCCGUAGGUGGUUAUAAAAGUCUGUUGUUAAAGCCCACAGCUCAACUGUGGAUCGGCAAUGGAAACUGUAUGACUUGAGUGUGGUAGGGGUAGAGGGAAUUCCUAGUGUAGCGGUGAAAUGCGUAGAUAUUAGGAAGAACACCAGUGGCGAAGGCGCUCUACUGGGCCAUAACUGACACUGAUGGACGAAAGCUAGGGGAGCGAAAGGGAUUA